GUGGGGCUUAGUGGUAGAGUGCUUGCCUAGCACAUGCGAUGCCCUGGGUUCAAUCCUCAGCACCACA
rnacentral:tRNA from 1 species